GUCUAUGGCCAUACCCACUCUGAACGUGCCCAAUCUUGUCUGAUCUCAGAAGCUAAGCAGGGUUGAGCCUGGUUAGUACUUGGAUGGGAAAAAAUUUACCAAUAAUUUCAGAACAAAAGUCACCAUUAUUA
rnacentral:rRNA from 1 species